GUAGCUUGAGAAGAUGCAUCUCUUGCCAGGGUUGUGCAUUGCUAGAGCAAGGUUUUCUCCUCUGGUCCAUAUAAUCUCAUGGCUGUUGGGAAUUCUGGACAUCGUUGUGUGGUACUCCUUCCUUUUUUUCAUGGUUCCUCACAGCUCCGCUCAAAGACGUAAUUCAAUAGUUUGGAGCUUGAGAGACCACCAAGAAUUCUGGGGAAAACACACUGAACACAUCUAUUGUAUGCACAUUGAGAGAUCAACCUGUCGUCUUCUGGACACCAGGUUUCCGUAGCUGUUGUUUUCAUAGGGGUUUGUACCUUUGUAUUCCUCUUCGUGGGUUAACUUUGUGUAGAAGUAUAAGUGCAACCUAUGACGCUGGACAGUCCUGUUGCCACAGUUCAGUUUCAUGUGCACAUUUUUUUCGAUAAUGAUUUCAGGUGCACAUGAAUGAAACUCUUGCAAAGAUCAUGGUGCCACUUCAUUUUUUCAUAUUUAAAGUUUUAGUCCUCUAGAUAAAAUAAUAUAGUGCAGAAAUCCAACAAAAAAAUGU